UUGUGUAUGUGGAAGGAAAGACCUGUGUGUCUAUUGCUUUACUCGACAGAUGUCGCAGCCUUGUCUUGUGGAAAAGUGAAUCUUGGGCAACAGGGUUGUCAGCAGGUGUAAGGUAAGCAAAAUGAUCUCGCUUGAAUAGUUUCAGGAUCCACAUAGAUUGAGAGGAGCAGCAAAGAAAGUGAAGAAAAAAGUGUGUACCAUCUUAUGUAGGAAGACAUUUGGAAGUUGUGUUCGCGGAAGGAAAGGCCUGUGUGUCUAUUGCUUUUUUCGACAGAUGUAGCAGUCUUGUCUUGUGGAAAAGUGAAUCUUGGGCAACAGGGUUUUCAGCAGGUGUAAGGUAAGCAAAAUGAUCUUGCUUGAAUAGUUUCAGGAUCCACACAGAUUGAGAGGAGCAGCAAAGAAAGUGAAAAAGAAAGUGUGUACCAUCUUAUGUAGGAAGACAUUUGGAAGUUGUGUUUGCGGAAGGAAAGAAAGGCCUGUGUGUCUAUUGCUUUACUCGACAGAUGUCGCAGCCUUGUCUUGUGGAAAAGUGAAUCUUGGGCAACAGGGAUUUCAGCAGGUGUAAGGUAAGCAAAAUGAUCUUGCUUGAAUAGUUUCAGGAUCCACACAGAUUGAGAGGAGCAGCAAAGAAAGUGAAGAAAAAAGUUUGUACCAUCUUAUGUAGGAAGACAAUUGGAAGUUGUGUUUGCGGAAGGAAAGGCCUGUGUGUCUUUUGCUUUACUCGACAGAUGUCGCAGCCUUGUCUUGUGGAAAAGUGAAUCUUGGGCAACAGGGUUUUCAGAAGGUGUAAGGUAAGCAAAAUGACCUCGCUUGAAUGGUUUCAGGAUCCACAAAGAUUGAGAGGAGCGGCAAAGAAAGUGAAGAAGAAAGUGUGUACCAUCUUAUGUAGGAAGACAUCUGGAAGUUGUGUUUGCGGAAGGAAAGAAAGGCCUGUGUGUCUAUUGCUUUACUCGACAGAUGUCGCAGCCUUGUCUUGUGGAAAAGUGAAUCUUGGGCAACAGGGAUUUCAGCAGGUGUAAGGUAAGCAAAAUGAUCUUGCUUGAAUAGUUUCAGGAUCCACACAGAUUGAGAGGAGUAGCAAAGAAAGUGAAGAAAAAAGUUUGUACCAUCUUAUGUAGGAAGACAUUUGGAAGUUUUGUUUGCGGAAGGAAAGGCCUGCCUGUGUGUCUUUUGCUUUACUCGACAGAUGUCGCAGCCUUGUCUUGUGGAAAAGUGAAUCUUGGGCAACAGGGUUUUCAGAAGGUGUAAGGUAAGCAAAAUGACCUCGCUUGAAUGGUUUCAGGAUCCACAAAGAUUGAGAGGAGCGGCAAAGAAAGUGAAGAAGAAAGUGUGUACCAUCUUAUGUAGGAAGACAUCUGGAAGUUGUGUUUGCGGAAGGAAAGAAAGGCCUGUGUGUCUAUUGCUUUACUCGACAGAUGUCGCAGCCUUGUCUUGUGGAAAAGUGAAUCUUGGGCAACAGGGAUUUCAGCAGGUGUAAGGUAAGCAAAAUGAUCUUGCUUGAAUAGUUUCAGGAUCCACACAGAUUGAGAGGAGUAGCAAAGAAAGUGAAGAAAAAAGUUUGUACCAUCUUAUGUAGGAAGACAUUUGGAAGUUUUGUUUGCGGAAGGAAAGGCCUGCCUGUGUGUCUUUUGCUUUACUCGACAGAUGUCGCAGCCUUGUCUUGUGGAAAAGUGAAUCUUGGGCAACAGGGUUUUCAGAAGGUGUAAGGUAAGCAAAAUGACCUCGCUUGAAUGGUUUCAGGAUCCACAAAGAUUGAGAGGAGCGGCAAAGAAAGUGAAGAAGAAAGUGUGUACCAUCUUAUGUAGGAAGACAUCUGGAAGUUGUGUUUGCGGAAGGAAAGAAAGGCCUGUGUGUCUAUUGCUUUACUCGACAGAUGUCGCAGCCUUGUCUUGUGGAAAAGUGAAUCUUGGGCAACAGGGAUUUCAGCAGGUGUAAGGUAAGCAAAAUGAUCUUGCUUGAAUAGUUUCAGGAUCCACACAGAUUGAGAGGAGUAGCAAAGAAAGUGAAGAAAAAAGUUUGUACCAUCUUAUGUAGGAAGACAUUUGGAAGUUUUGUUUGCGGAAGGAAAGGCCUGCCUGUGUGUCUUUUGCUUUACUCGACAGAUGUCGCAGCCUUGUCUUGUGGAAAAGUGAAUCUUGGGCAACAGGGUUUUCAGAAGGUGUAAGGUAAGCAAAAUGACCUCGCUUGAAUGGUUUCAGGAUCCACAAAGAUUGAGAGGAGCGGCAAAGAAAGUGAAGAAGAAAGUGUGUACCAUCUUAUGUAGGAAGACAUCUGGAAGUUGUGUUUGCGGAAGGAAAGAAAGGCCUGUGUGUCUAUUGCUUUACUCGACAGAUGUCGCAGCCUUGUCUUGUGGAAAAGUGAAUCUUGGGCAACAGGGAUUUCAGCAGGUGUAAGGUAAGCAAAAUGAUCUUGCUUGAAUAGUUUCAGGAUCCACACAGAUUGAGAGGAGUAGCAAAGAAAGUGAAGAAAAAAGUUUGUACCAUCUUAUGUAGGAAGACAUUUGGAAGUUUUGUUUGCGGAAGGAAAGGCCUGUGUGUCUAUUGCUUUACUCGACAGAUGUCGCAGCCUUGUCUUGUGGAAAAGUGAAUCUUGGGCAACAGGGUUUUCAGGAGGUGUAAGGUAAGCAAAAUGAUCUCGCUGGAAUGGUUUCAGGAUCCACACAUAUUGAGAGGAGCAGCAAAGAAAGUGAAGAAAACUGUUUGUACCAUCUUAUGUAGAAAGACAUUUGGAAGUUGUGUUUGCGGAAGGAAAGAAAGGCCUGUGUGUCUAUUGCUUUACUCGACAGAUGUCGCAGCCUUGUCUUGUGGAAAAGUGAAUCUUGGGCAACAGGGUUGUCAGCAGGUGUAAGGUAAGCAAAAUGAUCUUGCUUGAAUGGUUUCAGGAUCCACAAAGAUUGAGAGGAGCGGCAAAGAAAGUGCAGAAAAAAGUUUGUACCAUCUUAUGUAGGAAGACAUCUGGAAGUUGUGUUCGCGGAAGGAAAGGCCUGUGUGUCUAUUGCUUUACUCGACAGAUGUCGCAGCCUUGUCUUGUGGAAAAGUGAAUCUUGGGCAACAGGGUUUUCAGCAGGUGUAAGGUAAGCAAAAUGAUCUCGCUUGAAUGGUUUCAGGAUCCACAAAGAUUGAGAGGAGCAGCAAAGAAAGUGAACAAAAAAGUUUGUACCAUCUUAUGCCUUCUCUAUCAGAUCCCUUCAAGACACAAAAUAUCGGACCUUUGCUGCCUAGGAAGACCUUGAUUAUAGUUGUUACCUUUGAACCUUGAGACUCGUCAAUCAUUGAGACGCAAAGGGUUUGGACAGAAAACACUGCUAAUUUGAAAUGUAUAGGGUGAAGGAAAA